GUGGAAAGAGUAAAUUCUCAUAAACUGUUGGGUGUCUGGCAUCAAAACAAUUUGAAAUGGAACUGUCAUGUUAAGAACAUUGUAAGGAAAGCAAAUAAACGAAUGUUUAGUCUGAGAGAAUGCCGUAGGGCGAAUCUUCCUCGUGAGGUCGGUAUUACAUGUUAUGAAUCCAAGAUUAGACCUGUUUUAGAAUAUGCAGCUCCGAUAUGGGGUGGUUUACCACAAUAUCUCAUUGAUGAAAUAGAGAGCAUUCAAAACAGAUGCAUCAAAAUCCUCGGCACAUCUCGGUGCAACUUUGAAACGCUGGAACAAAGAAGGGCACACCUAACUAUUAAGGAAUACCAAAGAAUUCUAAGUGAUCCGAC